UACAGAGGUCCCAAGCGUUGUUCGGAUUCACUGGGCGUAAAGGGUGCGUAGGUGGCGGGGUAAGUCGGAUGUGAAAUCUCCGAGCUCAACUCGGAAAUGGCAUUGGAAACUACCUUGCUCGAGGGUUGGAGGGGGGACUGGAAUACUUGGUGUAGCAGUGAAAUGCGUAGAUAUCGGGAGGAACACCAGUGGCGAAGGCGGCGAUCUGGGUCGAUACUGACGCUGAGGUGCGAAAGCGUGGGGAGCAAACAGG
rnacentral:rRNA from 1 species